CCUACGGGGGGCAGCAGUGGGGAAUAUUGCACAAUGGACGGAAGUCUGAUGCAGCAACGCCGCGUGCGGGAUGACGGCCUUCGGGUUGUAAACCGCUUUCAUCCAUGACGAAGCGAGAGUGACGGUAGUGGGAGAAGAAGCACCGGCUAACUACGUGCCAGCAGCCGCGGUGAUACGUAGGGUGCGAGCGUUGUCCGGAUUUAUUGGGCGUAAAGAGCUUGUAGGCGGUUUGUUGCGUCGGAAGUGAAAACUCAGGGCUUAACUCUGAGCCUGCUUUCGAUACGGGCAGACUUGAGGAAGGUAGGGGAGAAUGGAAUUCCUGGUGAAGCGGUGGAAUGCGUAGAUAUCAGGAGGAACACCGGUGGCGAAGGCGGUUCUCUGGACCUUUCCUGACGCUGAGAAGCGAAAGCGUGGGGAGCAAACAGGCUUAGAUACCCGUGUAGUC
rnacentral:rRNA from 1 species